UGGGGAAUAUUGCACAAUGGCCGGAAGUUUGAUGCAGCGACGCCGCGUGGAGGGUGUAGGCCUCCGGGUUGUGAACUCCUUUUUCCCGCGAAAAAGGCACAGUUUUGGCUGUGUUGAUGGUAGUGGGGGUAGAAGCGCCGGCUAACUACGUGCCAGAAGCCGCGGUAAUACGUAGGGCGCGAGCGUUGUCCGGACUUAUUGGGCGUAAAGAGCUCGUAGGUGGUUCGUCGCGUCUGUCGUGAAAGCCAGCAGCUUAACUGUUGGUCUGCGGUGGGUACGGGCGGGCUUGAGUGCGGUAGGGGUGGCUGGAAUUCCUGGUGUAGCGGUGGAAUGCGCAGAUAUCAGGAGAAACACCGAUGGCGAAGGCAGGUCACUGGGCCGUUACUGACACUGAGGGGCGAAAGCGUGGGGAGCGAACAGG
rnacentral:rRNA from 1 species